GGCUUUGAACACCUUUGUAUCCAAAUGAGAUGGCAUCUGUUGAGAUGGAUAGAAUUCUCUGAGUGGUAAUGUUUGGUUGCCUAGCAACCAGUCAUCUGGUGUUUGGGGAAUUAGGCAAUGAGCAGUAAGUCUGACAAAAGAAAGAAGCCACAAGAUCUUUUACAAGGGCUAAUUUAAUCAUCUGUCAUCUGCUUAUCUGAAGCAUGCACACUAAAGUGGAUGGUAGAUCUCAUUCACCAGUGGGAAACUAGAGAAGCAAGAAAACAGAACAAACACCACAAAUGAUAUCUUGAUAGUAUAAAAGGGAGAGACUCAAAGACCUGUCUGUCCUCUCCUUAUAAUAAAAUAAACCUUUUA
rnacentral:lncRNA from 1 species